rnacentral:rRNA from 1 species
CCUACGGGUGGCAGCAGUGAGGAAUAUUGGUCAAUGGACGCGAGUCUGAACCAGCCAAGUAGCGUGAAGGAUGACUGCCCUCUGGGUUGUAAACUUCUUUUAUAUGGGAAUAAAAUGUUCCACGUGUGGGUUUUUGUAUGUAUCAUAUCAUUAAGGCUAGGCUAACUCUGUGCCAGCGGCGGCGGUAUUACGGAGGAGCCGCGCGUUAUCCGGAUUUAUUGGGUGUAAGGGGAGCGUAGGUGGAUUGUUAAGUCAGUUGUGAAAGUCUGCGGCUCAACCGUAAAAUUGCAGUUGAAACUGGCAGUCUUGAGUACAGUAGAGGUGGGCGGAAUUCGUGGUGUAGCGGUGAAAUGCUUAGAUAUCACGAAGAACUCCGAUUGCGAAGGCAGCUCACUGGACUGCAACUGACACUGAGGCUCGAAAGUGUGGGUAUCAAACAGGAUUAGAUACCCGAGUAGUC